GUUGGAGUGUGUCCAGAGGGGGGCCACAGAACUGAUGGAACAAGGGAUGGAACACCUCCGCUGUGAGGACAGGCUGAGAGCUGGGGCUGUUCAGCCAGCAGAAGAGAAGGCUCUGGGGAGGUCUGAGAGUGGCCUUUCAUUCCCCCAGGAGAGCCAGCAGCACCCUCCAGUUCUGACAAGCCAGGAGGAAGCUCUGCUAAGCCAUAAAAAGAAGCUGCCGCACAUCUCGGAGCAUAAAGACAACGUGAUAUGGGAGGGUGAAGAAAAAGGAAUUCACAGUUGGAAAUAAAGGCGGGAGACAGCAGCUGGUCGUUCAUGCACAGCAAUAAUAAGGAGAGUAUAACACCAGCUUGGUGGAAGAAUUCGUGAAAUUUGCUCACUGGACACAGAAGCAGGAUUUGAGAAUUUCAAAGCUGCCCUUCCAUCUCAGUCCACAACUCACCAGGUGACCCGGAAUAACUAAAAUUAAGUUUUUAUCCACUUGUACUUCCUUGUGCAGACACUGUGCCUCGUUUUUGAUGGAAGGUGCAGCCCAGAAGAGGGCAAAAAUGGCUUCAAAUCCUGCCUGCAUUUCCUGAACUCUGCCCAUGCCCACUGUCACAGCAGCUCCCUAUGAAAAUCAGCAGAACUCUACAAGCACACUUCAUCACGUCCUCAGUGGACUUCCUAUGAUAGGAGCCACAAAACACAGGCCUCCUUAAAUCAGGUAUGCCAUGGGAGCUCUCUCUUGGCCUCCUGCAAGUCCUCUGAAGUUCUCCAUGUCCCUGCAGCAGACAGGAAGACAAGAGGAAACGAGGAUCCCACAGAGCUAACCAAAAAGCAGAAUCAGCAGCCACAGCAACAGCUCUAAUGCCUCUGUAGAGCAAUAUGUUUCUUAAACUGCCUGACUUUAAUAAGAAGACAUGGCAAUAAAAAGGACACUUGGAACCUGAAAAAUACAGGGUAGCAUGGAGGAAUGGCUUACACAUCCUCAUGCCUGUCUGCUGUGUGUGAAGAUGUGGUGGUGUGAGGAUAAAUCCAGCUGCUGCCCAGUCCACCACCAGCUCCAUUCUGUGGGUCACUACCUUGUCAUUUGCCUAGGAAUAACACUAAUAUUUUUAAUGCUUCUACAUAUGCAAGAGCUCAUAUAACACACUCUUCUGGUACUGUAGAAACACUUUCAGGCUUACACAGGAGACAUUAUUACAGUCUCUUUGUAUCAUCAGUCUGAAUCAUUUAAUAGCCCUCAUCUUUGGAGAAGUACUCAGCUCAAGCCAAACACUGCUGCUCUUCAGACUGAUUUCACUGCCAUGUGUAAUGAAUGGAUGUUACAUAUGGUAUUACAGUGUUUCCAGAUUUCCACUCUGCAGAUGGCCACGGCAUUUUCCACAUGACUCGUACUGUAAUAUCAGAACCGCAUAAGUCAUUUAUAAGCAAUUGAUAUGUCACAGCACCUUAUAGGGGUGCUGUGCGGUGUUCAAAGCUGAACAGACAAUGCAAAAGAAACACCAGCAUGUCUGCAUGUUACUUUUGUACACAGAGCAUAUGCACAUCCCCAAAAAGUAGGAAAGUAGAGCAGAUACUGAUGUGUUAGCUAGUACACGAAAAUGUCAGAAUUACCAUUAAGUAUGAUCAUCUAAAAUGAGACACAGUUUCAAAGACCAUGCCCACAGGAGAUGGAUGGUUACUUAUGGUGUGGUCAAGGCACUGAAAAUACUAUUACCACUGAUCUGAAUUCACUUGUGUUUUUGGCAAUUACUUUGUUACUGGAGAAAAAAGCAUCUAAUUGAUGAGAACGACCCCUCUGUCUUUGUUUUCCAUUCUCCUUCCCCUUCCAUUGGGCUAAACAAAUACACAAUGUAUUUUUGUCUUCUAUAAUUGCUGCAAGAUAAAAUAACCUUUUAAAAAAACAUUAGCAACAAGAAACGUGAUGAAAAUAUUGAGGGAUACAAGGAAAACUGGUUUUGCUGCUAAGCAUACAGAGUGAAGAACAAGAUCCCACCAGCUCUGACCCUUGAAGAAUUUGAUGUGCUACCCAGAGCUCUCCAGAUACAAUAAAAAUAGCCAUAAAAAGAGCAUUCCCACUGGUACCACAACUAAGUAUUCAGAAGGCAUGGAUAUCCAUUUUCUCUAAAUACUUUCUGUUUGCUUCUAAACCUAUUUCAUUGCAAAGUCCGAUAGUUUACCGUCUUCUUCAGGCUCCCGGCAGUGACAUUCAGCGGCUGAAGUUUCAGCUGUUGCUACCCCAGGCAGACCAAGACACCACUCGCAGUACCCCUACUCCUUUGAGCAGCAGCUGUGUAUUUAGCCCCAAAAAAACCUAAUAACAGCAGUACUGUACUUCCUUCUCAGAAGAAACUUGUGGAAACAUUUUUCUGAGAGACCACAACAAAACAGCUUCAGAGUGCACACAGCCAGAACAGAUACACCGCCGAAGCCGAACGCGAGUGCCUGACAUCACUGAGAUAGUCAAAUUACAGCCUCGAUCCGAAUUGGCAAUGUGUUUCCUGUAACAGGUCUGACACACCUCCGCCGUGCCUUGGUGCAGAACUAGCAGUCAGACUUCAGAAGGUUUGAUCUUUCUCUGGGGAUGCACAGGCCUGUGAGUGCCAGCUGCUUCCAGGAGCCAGCACUGCCAGCAAGGAGGGUCUGCAACAGCUCCUUGCUGGGAAUCUAACGCCGAAAUAUCAACAGUUGUUUGCCCACAUAAAGGAAGUGCUCAGUAACUGAGCACAGAUCCCUAAAAAGGGAAGGAUUUCUGGCCCCGUAUGCAAGGGAUACACUAAGAAGCUCAGUCCAGCGACACACGUUUUGCCUGUACACCAACUGGCCCCCAGCUGGGGCUGGUUCAGCACGUAGGCACCCACGAUGUGGGCAGCUGUGUGGUUUCCAUGUCCGCGUGCCAGCUGGGAGCCCUGUGGGAGCAGCUCUGACAGAACAAGGCUGCAUCACCACCGAAGCACCCCGAGCUUGCCAGCCCAGGAGACUGCAGCCACUGCGCUUUGCUGUCAAAUAUUACAAAAAGUUUCGGGGUUUUUUGUUGUUGUUUUUUUCUUUGCUAUCUGCUUAUCAGUCAGGAAGACAGCUCUUGUGAAUGCUAACACAGAUAACCAAAUGCCAACCUCAUAACUCAGGUUGGUAGGCACCUAUCUUCACAGGGAACAUGACACAGGCUUACAUCUCUGUCACGAUGGAGACAGGUUUGUGCAGAAACACGAAGAAGGAAACAUUCCUUUUGGAUUAUGCGAACUCCCACACAUGCUGUCAUAUGAAGAAUUUGUGUGGGAACCUAUUUACAAAAGUGGAACUCACUGUCAUUACACUGCACCGAAGCAGAAAAAAAAAUUAGCAUGCUGUAAGUCAAAUGUCACAGCAGAAUUUAAUAUGCUGGAAUUCUUGGAAAGUGUUCUAAUGCUUUCAGCUCAAACAGCGUGCAUCGCUUUCUAUAGCAAGGAAUUUUAAUUAUUAUUAGUUUCUGGCAAUCCCCAUAGUCUGCUGGCAUUUUCUAACCCACAGAGCUUAAAACCUGAAGAGAAGCAGAAGGCUGGAGAAAAGGGAAGAAUGCCUAAUUCAAGUACUCAGCAUCUACGUAUUCAUGACUUACUAAUAUGGCGAUAUGCGAGCAGGAGUUCAAGGUUGAAAUGUUACUCUCAUUUUGUCCUCAAAUGUGCCAUUAUUAAUCAGAUGAAUUCUCGUAACAGCAAAAAUAGGUCAGAGAGGAGUGGGGAAGUGAUGAGAUCACAUCAAGAAUGGCAGUGCUUCAGACGGACCGAGGAAAGACUAGCAAAGUGCUCUGAGUGGAGGACUGAGGGAUGCUGCUGCUUCCACCAAAAUGAAGUCCCAGGGGCCAUGGCACACACACGUAACUUUGUCUCAGCAGAUUUACAAGUAAACAAGUUCUGCUCCACACUGCCUUCAGUAUGAAGACGUUAACACUGCUGGGUUUCUGUAGUCUCCUCAUUUCUCCUUGUUACUUCUCUACCCACACACUCCCUCAUGAGGCAGCACCACCCCAGCUCACCAGGUCCACCUCCUCCACUCUCCACACUGAUGCUUCACUGUGGUUGCACUUGGCCAUGAAUUAACAAUAUCAGCUUCAGAUAGCCCCAUGGCAAUGCCAUGGCCUCCUGCUCCCCUGCCUGUAACCCAUGUCCCGCCUGCUUCCACCAAGAUGCCAGCUGCCCGUGCUGUCACCCACCAGCUGCCCUGCCUACUGCAGCUGCCCCCAGGCCCAGCCAUCCCCCUUGGCCAACUCCUCCUUGGCCACACUGAGGGUGUGACGCAGGUUUGCUGUGCGAGGCAAGAAUACACUCGCAUGUUGAUGAAUAUCUGGAAGAAAUACCUCAUACACUGUAAUUUUGACUGCAGCAGUCAGGCAGUUAUUAUAGCACAUCUAAGGCCAGCUUCUUCAGUGUGUGCACUCGGGUGUAGGAGAGCCGUGCAUCAAAGGGAUGAAGCAACAACUGCCACAAGGCUCCAUGCGUUGGCCUGAUGACUCGUUUGCUCUGAGUUCUGGUUCCCACCAGAAACCUUUGUUACUGGAGCAACAGGAGGAAGAGGAUUCUGGAAAAUUUCCCAUGCUGAGGUGGUGAUGUGGCAAACCCAGAGCAACGAACUGUCCCUCUGGACAUUCAGGAAAAUUAUCCUCAAGACCUGUUCAAAACUGGAUUGAUUGGACAUCCUAUGCUCUGCGCUUCAAAAAUGAAAGAAAAGCAGGACAUGAAGCUAGAAACUAUUGAGCACUUCCUAUUGUAUUUACUGUUGCUGUUGGGAAAUCUUAGUACAAAGAGACAGCAAUUUCCUGCUAGGUGGCUACGUUCAGAGCUGGAGAGAAUCCGGGUUUCCCUGUACUUGGGCAUUCUGUGAAUUGUGGCAGUGCAGUACUGUCUGUAAGAAAAGGAUUCUGCAGAAGCCUUUUUCCACCUCCAGAGGAUUCUCUGCACCUUCUUUUAUACCUGUCAACAUUUCCCCAAGAGGGAAAAUAUUUGUACAAGAUGAGUAUUUUCACAGUAUAACCUUAUCUAUCCUUCAGGAUUUGUGUGUGUUAUAUGAAUAAUAAGGCAACUUGAAAAACUACAAUAUUCAUGUAUUUGCAUCUUGUAUGUUUUAUAUAAAAAUAAAACUGUGAUUUUUCAUGCAAGCUUCAAUUGUUAACAUUUAUCAACAUUCAAGACUCAAAAGUUACUGGUGUUGUCCUUGUAAACCUUUUUCCACUUGGAAACAUAUUAAGGAUCUGUGGGCUGUUGUGUUAAGCUAUCCUUCAGCAUACAAAAUCCAUCCAGAUAUCUACUGAUGACUAUAUUCGUGCCAGAUAGUUUUUGUUCCUCUG